UCGCCUCGUCUGCAACAAGGAGAGGGAGGGGAGGAAGGAGAGGGCGAGAGAGGCGGAGGUCAGCAGGUGGGAGUGGGACUUCGCCAUGGACAUCAUCACGCAGCUGCAGGACCAGCUGGACGAGAUGGCGGUGCUCGCCGUCAACACGUUCGGCACGCUGCAGCGGGACGCGCCGCCCGACCGCCUCUCCAACAGCUACCCAGACCCGCUCAACCCCAACCCUAAGCCCGAGGACGUCUCCACCAAACCCCAGGUCCAGGGCCAGCCCGGCGCGCCGCCACCGGCGCAGGCGCAGCCACCCGCGCCUGACCUCUCCGAGCAACCUAAGGCUAUGAGCCACGCCCUUGUCCUCGCGGCCAAGAAGUUUGAUGCACUUGUUGCGGCAUUGCCACUAUCAUCAGAAGAGGAUCAAGUGAAAAGAAUCCAAGAGCUACAGGCAGAGAAUGAAGUCGUGGGAUUGGAGCUCCAGAAGCAACUGGAAGCUGCUGAAAGGGAGUUGAAGCAAGUUGAGGUGCUGUUCAAUGAAGCAACGGACAAUUGUAUAAAUUUUAAGAGGCUAGAUUAAUUAUAUUAAUUGGUUUUGCAUGCAACAGUGGUUCCAGACCAUAUAUUUAUGACCAACAUUACAAUUGUGGAAACCUGUUUGCUGAAAGGAAAUUGUUCUCAUGAAUGGAUGAGUGUGGAGAAUGAAUGCCGGUAGAAAAUUUUAUUCUGUCUUUUCAAAUUCUCUACUUGUUACCUCUGUAAACAAUAAUCCAAUUCUGUCUCAUCGCUUAUGUACUGAUGUUCUGAAAGGACCUGCUGGAUUAGGAUUAGGAUCAACCUUUGUUGUAAGGUACAAUGUUUCUAGUAUCAUCUUGGUUUCAUUUCACGCCUGAAUUGUGCUUCAGUUUUGUUUUUUUAAUGAAUCUGCUACCUGCCUUCAUUGGAAUUUUUUAUAUUGUUGUUUUGAAGUCCCUGAA